rnacentral:rRNA from 1 species
AAUCUACCUUUUAGUGGGGAAUAGCCUUUUGAAAAAAAGGAUAAUACCGCAUAUGUCGCUUCGGCGAUAAAGACUUUGUCGCUAAGAGAGGAGCCUGCGUCCUAUCAGGUCGUUGGUGGGGUAAUGGCCCACCAAGCCAAUAACAGGUAACCGGUGUGAGAGCACGACCGGUCACAAGGUCACUGAAAUACGGGGCCUACACCUACGGGUGGCAGCAACCAGGAAUAUUGCGCAAUGGACGAAAGUCUGACGCAGCGACACCGCGUGUGGGAAGACGCUUUUCGGAGUGUAAACCACUGUGGCAAGGGAAGAAUUGUCGACGGUACCUUGCUAGAAAGCUACGUGAUAACUACGUGCCAGAAGCCUCGGUAAUACGUAGGGUGCAAGCGUUAUCCGGAUUUACUGGGCGUAAAGGUUUCGUCGGCGUCUUUAUAAGUUCUUUGGUUUAAGCCUGGGGCUUAACCCCAGAACAGCAAAGAAUACUGUAAAGAUUGAGUAUAUUCGGGGGAAUUAGAAUUCUCAGUGGAGGGGUGAAAUCCGUAGAGAUUGAGAAGAAUACCGUACGCGAAGGCAGAUUCCUAGAAUAUCACUGACGCUCAGGAACGAAAGCUUGGGUAGCAAAAGGGAUUAGAGACCCCUGUAGUCCAAGCCGUAAACAUUCCUCGCUAGCUGCCUUUUCUUUAAGAAAGGGUGGCGUAAGCUAACGCGUUAAGCGGGGCGCCUGGGAAUUACAGCCGCAAGGCUAAAACUCAAAGGAAUUGACGGGGGAGCGUACAACCGGUGGAGCAUGUGGUUUAAUUCGAUACAAAGCGAAGAACCUUACCUGGGUUUGACAUGCACCUGCAUGUUCUGUGAAAACAGAAUUCUUUCGAAGGUGGUGCACAGGUGAUGCAUGGCUGUCAUCAGCUCGUGUCGUGAGACGUCCGCUUAAGUGCGGUAACGAGCGCAACCCUUAUUGUCAGUUAUAGAUGUCUGACAAAACUGCCCUGCUACUAGCAGGGAGGAAGGAGAGGACGACGUCAAGUCAGCAUGUCCCUUAUAUCCAGGGCUACACACAUCCUACAAUGGGACUGACAACGGGCAGCAACGGGGUAACCCUAAGCUAAUCCCAAUAAACAGUCUCUCAGUUCAGAUUGAAGGCUGCAACUCGCCUUCAUGAAGUCGGAAUCGGUAGUAAUCGCAAAUCAGCAGGUUGUGGUGAAUACGUUCUCGCUCCUUGUACACACUGCCCGUCAAGCCAGCAAAGUCAGCAGUACCCGAAGCGGGUGACCAUAACUAUUUAUAGAAUGGCCCCUCUACGGUAAGGUUGGCGAUGAGGACUAAGUCG